rnacentral:rRNA from 1 species
GUAGGUGGCAAGCGUUGUCCGGAAUUAUUGGGCGUAAAGCGCGCGCAGGUGGGUUCUUUAAGUCUGAUGUGAAAGCCCCCGGGCUCAACCGGGGAGGUCAUUGGAAACUGGGGAACUUGAGUGCAGGAGAGGAAAGUGGAAUUCCACGUGUAGCGGUGAAAUGCGUAGAUAUGUGGAGGAACACCAGUGGCGAAGGCGACUUUCUGGCCUGUAACUGACACUGAGGCGCGAAAGCGUGGGGAGCAAACAGGAUUAGAUACCCUGGUAGUCCACGCCGUAAACGAUGAGUGCUAAGUGUUGGGGGGUUUCCGCCCCUCAGUGCUGCAGCUAACGCAUUAAGCACUCCGCCUGGGGAGUACGGUCGCAAGACUG